rnacentral:lncRNA from 1 species
GGUAUAUUUGGACUUAUCAUCUGGUUGACGCAUAUAACUAUAGUAGCAGUUGUCGCUUGUAUAUCUUCAGUUCUUUCGUUAGAUUGUUUUGCUACUAUAGUCUUGUUACAUGUAUACAUUCAGUUGUUCAUUACAGUAGCGGUAGUUGUAUUUUCUUUCAUAUACAUGUCUCUUUCAUUCAUUAUUAUUACUACUGUAUUUUCUACUGACCCGUACUGUUGUUUAGCUCUUCCUAAUCCGGUGAGUACUCCUCGCCUUCAUCGGCUUGUGGUACCCACUAGGAGGGGAGACAUGUUUACAUGUUCUCACCUCCCCCACUAUUUUUCAGGUAUCGCGGGCGGUGAGGGUUGAGACGAGACGUGAGAUACGUACGUAGCGGUCGAUAGAGCUUCCGACCCAGGUUAUUCGGUUUAGUUUCUACCCUUACUAUCCUGUUGAUAUAGCUUAGAUAGUUUGUAUGGUUCAGUUUUUGGGUAUUUCAGUUAACUAUCAUAUUUUGAUUUGGCUUUAUGAAUGUAAUAAAAAGGAUUCGUGGUUUUCGUAAAUAAAAGGUUUUCUGCCCCUCGUGAUAACGUUUUUAAAGAAUAAAGGUUUCCGUGUAGGAAACAGUUUUCAAAAGGAUUUUCUGUGAAUUUAUGUUUAAAUAUUGAAUGUAUAACUGUGAUGUGAAUGGUGAAUGAAUGAUUGCAUAGUCGUUUCUAUAUUCAUUUGGUUGUGGUUGUACCUGAGUUACUUCUUGCGCUUGUGCGACGCCGUGCAAAUAUAGGAGAGACUCUGUCCGUGUGAACAGUGGAUUUCCUGUAUUUGUGGCGGAUUUGGCAUUCCCUGGAUAACGGUUUUCAAAAAAAAAAUUUCCGCGGUGUUUUUAUCCUAAAGGGACCCCGGGGCGUGACAAAUACUUUCUAUGGACUAAGUGCAUGGAGAGCGCCACUUUGCUGCAUUCAUUAAAAACAUAUUUAAAGUUUUCACCCUUUUAUUGUUCACCUUUUUCGAAUCCUAUAUACCAUCGCCGGUGAGGCAAGGACUGUGGCAAAUACAUCGUGGAGUAUUUAAACUGAGUGAGUGGUCUAAAGUGUACCCUUUUAUGAAAAAAAAGAC